GCGCCCGUAGCACAACUGGAUAAUGCGUUUGGCUACGAACCAAAAGAUUGCGAGUUCGAGUCUUGCCGGGCGCACCA
rnacentral:tRNA from 1 species